rnacentral:rRNA from 1 species
UACGAAGGAUGCAAGCGUUAUCCGGAUUUAUUGGGUUUAAAGGGAGCGUAGGCGGUCUUAUAAGUCAGUGGUGAAAUCUCGUUGCUUAACAACGAACGUGCCAUUGAUACUGUAGGACUGAGUACAGUUGCCGUUGGCGGAAUGUGUCAUGUAGCGGUGAAAUGCAUAGAUAUGACACAGAACACCGAUUGCGAAGGCAGCUGACGAAACUGUAACUGACGCUGAGGCUCGAAAGCGUGGGGAUCAAACAGG